rnacentral:rRNA from 1 species
UAAGGAAUAUUGGACAAUGCCCGCAAGGGUGAUCCAGCCAUGCCGCGUGCAGGAAGACGGCCCUAUGGGUUGUAAACUGCUUUUGUACGGGAGAAAACCCCUCUACGUGUAGAGGGCUGAUAGUACCGUAAGAAUAAGCAUCGGCUAACUUCGUGCCAGCAGCCGCGGUAAGACGAAGGAUGCAAGCGUUAUCCGGAUUCAUUGGGUUUAAAGGGAGCGUAGGUGGUCUUAUAAGUCAGUGGUGAAAUCCUGUCGCUUAACGAUAGAAUUGCCAUUGAUACUGUAGGACUUGAGUACAGUUGCCGUUGGCGGAAUAUGACAUGUAGUGGUGAAAUACAUAGAUAUGUCAUAGAACACCGAUUGCGAAGGCAGCUGACGAAACUGUAACUGACACUGAGGCUCGAAAGUGUGGGGAUCAAACAGG